UUGACAGUCCUGGAGACUGAAAUCCUGUUUCCAAAGAACUUGCACAGCACAGGCAACAACGCUACAAGAUUCCCCACACUGCUCCAUAUGCCUCAGCCCUAGUCUGGAGUGUCCACUGCUAGGAGUGAAAGCAUACUUCAGUUUACAUUCAAUCCUUGGCCUCU
rnacentral:sRNA from 1 species